AGAGUUUGAUCCUGGCUCAGGACGAACGCUGGCGGCGUGCUUAACACAUGCAAGUCGAGCGGAAAGGCCCUUCGGGGUACUCGAGCGGCGAACGGGUGAGUAACACGUGAGUAAUCUGCCCUUGGCUUUGGGAUAACUACCGGAAACGGUGGCUAAUACCGGAUACGACGCACUCAGGCAUCUGAUGUGUGUGGAAAGUUUUUCGGCCAGGGAUGUGCUCGCGGCCUAUCAGCUUGUUGGUGGGGUAAUGGCCUACCAAGGCUUCGACGGGUAGCCGGCCUGAGAGGGUGACCGGCCACACUGGGACUGAGACACGGCCCAGACUCCUACGGGAGGCAGCAGUGGGGAAUAUUGGACAAUGGGCGGAAGCCUGAUCCAGCAACGCCGCGUGAGGGAUGACGGCCUUCGGGUUGUAAACCUCUUUCAGUACCGACGAAGCGCCGAUGAUGGUGGUGACGGUAGGUACAGAAGAAGCACCGGCCAACUACGUG
rnacentral:rRNA from 1 species